rnacentral:ncRNA from 1 species
UGGCCCGUGCGCGACUGGCGAUAGGCGCGGCCCCGGCUCCGGGCGCCCGCGCUGACGUGGGACACCACGGGGAAGCGCACCGCCGGGUCCGUGGUUGGGGCCGCGGCGUUCAGCCGUUCGCCUGGGCAGCCCUU